CAGGCUUCUGAGCUCAGACCUCCAGCGAAGAAAGGACAAAGCCCAUUCACCCUUUGGUUGACCCUUCCAUAUUUUCCUUUGAUGCUUCCUUUUUAUUUCUAGCAAACAUUUCCUAUUUGAUUCUGCUCGGAGGUAUACAAACAGGCCUCCUCAUAUACUCAAGUACCAGCGCUGUAUGUUGGAAAGAGUUGAAUAAGGCAGAUGUGCAUUUGCAUAUUGGCUGUCUCUAUGACCUUCGCCUAGUUACUUCACUUCUUUAAGCUGACAUUUCCACAUCUGCAAAAAUGUGGGCAAUAAUAAUAACAUUACAGGGUUACAGUGAAGAUUAAAUUAGAUAACAAGAUAUAGAGCCUGGAACAUAUUAUCUUAUGUAAUUAUUAUUGCCUUCCUUAUGUGUUAUUUUUAAAAGUGUGAGUACCUAAUGUCUCAAUUUCCUGAGCAAAUACCUGCCACCCGACUUUGUGAAAUUACAGAUAAGGGCUAACAUGGUUACAGGAUCCAGUGUAUUUGCGUAGCAAGGCUAAGGGACAAUCUAUUUAAAAGGGGGCAACUUCCAGGGGCUUUGUCUUGAAACUGUAAAGCAAGACAUUUGCUUUUGCUUAGAUUCUGUGAUCUUUGUUUGCGUGGCUUGAAAGAGACUAAAAGCUACCCUUCUCCCUAAUCACCCCUUAAUACUGCCAUUGGUGGUAGGGGCCCCUAUCACCAGAAUUCUGUCAUUAAUAUCUCUACCUUGCCUUGACUCCACUAAAGCCAAUGAGUGUGGACAUGGUUGUGAUAGAUACUCCUAUUCAUUCAUUCAACAAGCAAUCAUGGAACACCUACGUUGCAGAAACUGUCCUUUAAGGAACUCAGAUGGAACCUGCGAGUCAUCUCUGGAUUCUAGAACCCAUGUUCUGGCUCCAUGCCACUGCUGUAGACACUAUCCUGUGUCAUUAAACACUAAAAGCAGUGUUUUGUAAAGCAAUCUCAGGUGUAUCAAUCCCUCAUCGGCUGGCGCAGACCUCCAGCCAUCCAUUUCCUAAGUUUAACAGAGGAACUAAAAUUCCAAGACCCAAUUCCACAGUCGUUGAUGAGCAUAAGCACUUCAGCCAUCAUCUCCUCUGCGAUGAAGUGGUCAUUCUCUGAGGGUCACGAUCAAGCAAAAACUUCCUAUUUGCAAGGAGAGGCUGCCUUAGCCUCGAGAGGAGGACAUGUAAAUUACUGACCUUGAAGACACUGCACUACCCUGCGGCACUGCAGACCUUUAAAAAAAAAAAACAACCCAAAAGACCAAUGACGCUAAUAUCAAGUUAAAUCAGCAGGGGGCACAAUUUCUCCACAAUGUGAUUGGAUUUACAGUUUCUGAAGAACUGGAAAUUGUGUUUGCAAUGCCCCAGUUAUUCACUGGUCAGUUCAAAUAUGAGAUAUAAUUGAUGUGCAAGCAAGAAGAGAUAGUAGAGUCAGCGACUGACAGGUCUUCCCUACUGAGCUGGGAUAAGAGGCUGGGACUGGCAACACUGGUUCAAAUGGCAGAUACAACUUGUUGCCUAUCCAACUUAUACUCUUCUUAUGUCCCACCAAUGAAACUCAUGUUUGGUUCAGAAAGGUAAGGAGACCAGCCCAAAUGUGUACUCUGACGAGUCUGGUCUAGUGUAGGCCCAUCAUGCUGAUCUAGCUCCUCUUUUUCAGAAACUAUUUUUUUUUUUUUUAAGCUCAGGGUAUUAUGAUCCUGUUAUGGCCAAUGGUGCACAAGGUGAAGUCUGCUGGAGUAUUUCUGAGAGAGCUUUUGCUUUCAUAAUAAAGCAGACAGAUGAUGAUUCCUGCUUUCACUGCUUCAUCUUGCCUUAAAUGCAGAUGUGAUUUGAUAUCCAGAACCAGAACAGCCAUCUUAGGACGAAGAUGACUGAGAAAUUUUCGCAGUGGAUCAGCCCUGACAUCAUGUCGCUGACUUAACAGUUGCCUGUGUCCUGACUUCUUGGCAUGUGAGGAAAGGAGACAUCCCUUCUUUCUUAAGCUGGUUGAGUUUUCUACCAAGCAGCCAGGCAGUCACUAAGCAAUAGCAUGGGGGCGGCUGCUAGCUUUGCUGGCCAUAUUUCUAGAGAUUCGGCUGGUAAGGAGACAACAAGCCAAAAUGGAUUUAGCCAAUCUAUAACUCAUAUAGACAGCAUAAAAGAUCAGCAUGGUGUCAGCUACCUGCCACCAUUGUUCCACAGGAUGACACCAAGCCAAGGAGGGAGAUGAUGGGGAGCACAAGCAGUGGGUCACUCCUCACCCUGUGACUGAGAAGUCAACAACUCUAGGCUCCAGCCAAGCACUUUUAUAGUCUGCAACAGUUCCUGAAGAAGGGGGACAGAUGGAAAGUCCCAUACCUCACCAGAACCAGGAAAACAGAUGGGAAAUGACCUUGUGACAACCUCCCACAAGGUAGGGAGGUGAAUGGCAACAGCCUUGACAGCACCGCACGGAACUGCCACUCAUGCCAAAUUCCUGAGAACAUGACAAGGUGUUCGUUCACCAAGCCAAGUCAGGCUGCAGCUGAGCCUCACCUCCAGGGCCUGUGUGGAGACCUGCAAGGGUGCCAGGAAGCCAUUCCCUUAAAAAUUGCAGAUAAAAACAUUUCUAAUUGAGAAAACUCUUAUCCCAAGGAGGUAUGAGGGAAAGGAACUAAUCUUAUGGAAGAACAAAGGUUUUCCAGAGGAAUAAUACCUUCUCUUUAUUUUUUUUAUUUUUUGCUGAAAUAGUUCCCAGUAUCUCAUAAGACUGAUUACCAGGACACUUCACUGUAUACAAAGGCAGUGUUGAAAGCAUUUCCAGACAUUUCCAAGGGCAGAUGCCAAGGUCAUGCAUGACUGUGUCUGUGUGUGUAAAUGUGUGUGUGCUAAGCAUUCAUUAGCAACCAAUCUCAUAGACCCCAGAGCAGCGUAUCAACAUGCUUCCUGCAGCUGCCCUUCAGAAGUGAUGUGUAUAAUUACACAUUCAAAUUCAUCCCCAGCCACCCACACUGGUUUGUUUCACUCUUAUUUCCUAAAUAUAUAAUGCAGGUUUUGAAAUAUAAAAUUCCAAUGUUAACAAGCCUUAAAAGAAACCAUUUUACAGCCUUUGCCUUUUCAUGCCUGACAGAAAAGCUCACAUAACUACAAGUGCAAAGCACAGGUAACACUGCUUCUUCAUUUAUCCCUUCAAACCACAAGAUGUGGGAGAUGUUAUUGUUAUUUGUGACAUUCAUGUCAUAUCACCUUAAUGUCUUGAAGUAGAAUUUAUGUCUGUAUAUGAUUCAUCCUAGCUAUCUACAGGGAUAAAAAUGAGAUGACUUCAUUACUGUGGAAUAGAACAGAUGAUCUUAGAGCUGAAGGGAACCUAAAGAUCCCACACUCUAACCCUCUAAUUUAAUUUCACUAGUGAAGGUAAAGUGAUUUACCCCAUAGUCUCCUCUUAUGAACCCAAAACAAGACACACGUGGAAGUCCCUGGGCUGCCCCUCCACUCCCACCCCAUGCCCUGUCCUAUACCCUAAAGUGUCUGGGAGCAUGCAUGUGAAUAUCCUAGCCUGCACAAUCAGGCUGUUCUAUUACUAAGCUCUUAAUGAUUUUUUUUUAGCCCCUUUUAAUCAUUGUCCUCAAAAGGCGAUGCCUGAAAAAUGUCUUUAAGUUCUGAUUUGCAACCCUGUAAAAAUGAUCCCACUGAGUAAGCUAUUCCUUGUGAUCUUUAGAAUUUGCUAGAAAGACUUGAUUAACUUUCUGAAGUUCCCAAAGAAGGGACAGAUUCAGGAACACCAGUUGGGAGAAGUGGAGGAGGUGAGGCAAGAGGAUGGAAGCAGGGAAUUCAGUGAAAGUCUACAUACCAAGUAGUGAGCCCCUGCCUAACUCAACCUCCAUUCUCUGGUGACCAGCCUUAGCUCUCCAGCUAGGAGAGUGGAGGAUGCUCUCUGGAUAAACAGAUUGAGCAGGAGAACAGACCUACAGAUGCCAGUAUUUGAGGGUCACUCAACAAAAUGGCCAUCUCUACCCAUAAUCCCACAGUGAAGCUAACCAGGAAAUAAGGACUAGCCUUGAACACAGAGCUUCACUCCACUCUCAAGGGGCUCACUCUUAUGAGUAAGGACUGACAAAGAGGAACAGAUGUCAAGGAAGUCUUCGAGAAGCAAGGCAGAGACAAAAAAGGAAAAACUAAAGAGGAACUCAAAGGAUUCAGCAACUAUACAGGCAAGAAAAGUAACAGCCCCAAACACUUUAUAACCACAUUCCUCAGAGGGAGAUGAGAAUACACUAUAUCCAUAAAACAAGAACUGGUAGGAUCUUAGAAGUUAACAUUUGAAAGCUGAAA